AGUCAGGAAGUGGGACGACCGGCUUGCGAGGCUUCGAACGUCAUCAUUUUUGGCUCCUCCCCUAAAUAAAGCAAGCCUCGAUACGCGCUUCGUGGACACACCCCCUCCAUUACUCGACACACGCUUCGAAACCUCGGCACAUCUAGUAACAUCACUAGCUGAGACUCUGCUCUCGUUUGGAUGAAUCUGAUAUAAUAACUGUUGGUUUAUUUAUCGGUGGAGCUGCAGAACCUUUUGCACAGACAGUUUUCCUGCCCGUUGGCUUGGUUUAACCAGUUUUCUGCCUUCGGCUGAUCCUACCAGCAGACACUGAAAGGACUCUGAUAGUUCGGUGUCUCAUGAUCAGUGUGAGGAUCUUCUGAGUGAAGCCAACAGAAGGAAACGCUCAUCUGGAUGUGAAGAAGGAGACUGAAUGGACAACAUCCUCAGUGAACCACUUCCUGUUUAGCUUUCACUUACAGAAGGACAGACCAGCUUAAUAUUCUCUGUUCUUAGUAUUCACAGGUUCCAUUGAUCACCUUUAACUGAAUGUCUACUGUUGGAGCAGAAAUACAGUCUAAAAAGUCCAUGAUAUUUAUAGCAGAUAUGCAGCAUUAAAACAUCAACAUAUUCAGGUCAAGAGCUUCAUUAUUAUCUUUAUUGCACAUUUAAAAACUACAUUGUUUAACUAUUGUGAACUGUAAAGAUGUGUAAACAC
ensembl:lncRNA